AGCUAAUUGAACCACCUUUUAAAAUAAUUCAGUUUGCCACCUGAGACAAGGGCAGGACUAGUGCCAGAGAAAUUAGGGUAAUGUUUUGGAUCAGAAAACAAGCUUUCAGAGUCUGGUAUGAGCAGUCCUAUUCCCUAAAUCUCCAGAAGUAGUAGCUUACUUUUCCUGAGGGAAAUUUUAAUUCCCAGGGAUGACCAACACCUUUAUUAUUUUUAGAUUAAAUUAAGAUAAUUAUUUGUAGAUUAAAGAAGAAUAAGAGAACACCAAUAAAGACAGAAUGAUUUUUUAAAAAUGAAGAAUGACAACUCUAUCUUAGAUCAAGAUAUUAGUUAAGUGUUAAGGUGCAUAAACGCUGUAGUGCAUACUUUCUGAUCUGGCUCAUGCCCCAUCUUCUGCUGUUCUCUAAGUUCCAGCUACACAGACUUUCAGUUCUUUGAACAACCUUGUUCUAUUCCUUUAUGUCCCAAGGCCUUUUCCUUAGCUCUUCCCUCCAUAGAUUGAAUACUCUUCUUUUUCUUACCUUUACCCCUAAACGCAUACACCCAUGCAUGCACAUACGCAGGCAUGCGCAUUCAUUCUUUUGAUUUUGUUCUACAUUGUUGUUUCCUUGUGGAGAGAAUUCUCUAUUUUUGUUCAUGCCGUGGGCAAUUUCUUCGCCCUAAGAUAGGAAUCAUGAAAAUCAGCCCACCAUGUGGGAUUCUGGGAGGUAAAGCAUUUUAGACAGAUAAAAAGAACAAGUGCAAGUGGCCAGAAGUUGGAUCAAGCAAAAAUUAUGAAAUAUGUCAGUACCAAGUGGGCUA
rnacentral:lncRNA from 1 species